UAGUCCACGCCGUAAACGAUGUCAACUAGCCGUCGGGCUCAUUUAAGGGUUUGGUGGCGCAGCUAACGCGCUAAGUUGACCGCCUGGGGAGUACGCCGGCAACGGUAAAACUCAAAGGAAUUGACGGGGCCCGCACAAGCGGUGGAGCAUGUGGUUUAAUUCGAUGCAACGCGAAGAACCUUACCUACCCUUGACAUCCUCAGAACUUGUUAGAGAUAGCUUGGUGCCUUCGGGAACUGAGUGACAGGUGCUGCAUGGCUGUCGUCAGCUCGUGUCGUGAGAUGUUGGGUUAAGUCCCGCAACGAGCGCAACCCUUGUCCCUAGUUGCCAGCAUUUCGGAUGGGACUCUAGGGAGACUGCCGGUGACAAACCGGAGGAAGGUGGGGAUGACGUCAAGUCAGCAUGCCCCUUACAUCCUGGGGCUACACACGUGCUACAAUGGAUAAGACAAUGAGCUGCAAAUCUGCGAAGACAAGCUAAUCUAUAAACUUAUCUAAGUUC
rnacentral:rRNA from 1 species